GCAGGAUUUGCAUGUAGAGCUGGAAGAGGAAACCCAGAGCAUUUCACUCAUUACAGUGAACCACAGUUUGUCUGGUCUGCAGAUCCUCAUCCAGCAGCGUCUCUCUCAGUGAGUCCUGACAGAGAGCAACACUUCACCUCUGAGUCUCUGACACUGAACUGUGGAGGAAACCCUGAGUGGAGAGUGAUGGCGUUUACAGAAACAGAUCAGAUGUUAUCACAGUGCUCCUACUGGUGGGACAUGCCUGCUUCCCCAUGUACCAUUAACAAUGACUGGUCCCAUGAAUCAGUGCACUGGUGUGAGUUUGGAUCAGGAGAGUUCAGCAAUGCAGUCAACAUCAGCAUAGAAGUUGCACCAGAUUCAGUCCUGACUGUGUCUCCAUCAUGGCUGAAUCCUGGAGCCUCAGUGACUCUGAGCUGUGAGGUUAAACCUUCAUCUGCAGGAUGGAGGUUCUACUGGUACAAAGCUGUUCCUGAUUUA